CCCGUCUUGAAACACGGACCAAGGAGUCUAACAUCCACGCGAGCGUUCGGGUGAUUAAAACCCUCGCGCGAAAUGAAAGUGAACGGAGGUGGGAGCCCAUUACAGGGUGCACCAUCGACCGAUCCUGAUGUCUUCGGAUGGAUUUGAGUAUGAGCGUGGCUGUUGGGACCCGAAAGAUGGUGAACUUUGCAUGGAUAGGGUGAAGCCAGAGGAAACUCUGGUGGAGGCUCGCAGCGGUUCUGACGUGCAAAUCGAUCGUCAAAUCAGUGCAAAGGGGCGAAAGACUAAUCGAACCGUCUAGUAGCUGGUUCCUGCCGAAGUUUCCCUCAGGAUAGCAGUAACGAACCCAGUUUUAUGAGGUAGAGCGAAUGAUUAGAGGCCUUGGGGCUGAAACAGCCUUAACCUAUUCUCAAACUUCGAAUAUGUAAGAAGUCCUUGUUACUUAGUUGAACGUGGACGCUCGAAUGUACCGUUACUAGUGGGCCAUUUUUGGUAAGCAGAACUGGCGAUGCGGGAUGAACCGAACGCGAGGUUAAGGUGCCGGAAUGCACGCUCAUCAGACACCACAAAAGGUGUUAGUUCAUCUAGACAGCAGGACGG
rnacentral:rRNA from 1 species